GACGAACGCUGGCGGCGUGCUUAACACAUGCAAGUCGAACGGAAAGGCCCUGCUUUUGUGGGGUGCUCGAGUGGCGAACGGGUGAGUAACACGUGAGUAACCUGCCCUUGACUUUGGGAUAACUUCAGGAAACUGGGGCUAAUACCGGAAAGGAGCUCCUGCUGCAUGGUGGGGGUUGGAAAGUUUCGGCGGUUGGGGAUGGACUCGCGGCUUAUCAGCUUGUUGGUGGGGUAGGGGCUUACCAAGGCUUUGACGGGUAGCCGGCCUGAUAGGGUGACCGGCCACAUUGGGACUGAGAUACGGCCCAGACUCCUACGGGAGGCAGCAGUGGGGAAUAUUGCACAAUGGGCGGAAGCCUGAUGCAGCAACGCCGCGUGCGGGAUGACGGCCUUCGGGUUGUAAACCGCUUUCGCCUGUGACGAAGCGUGAGUGACGGUAAUGGGUAAAGAAGCACCAGCUAACUACGUG
rnacentral:rRNA from 1 species